UACGUAGGUGGCAAGCGUUGUCCGGAUUUACUGGGCGUAAAGAGCGCGCAGGCGGUCGAGUAAGUCGAAUGUGAAAGCCCCCGGCUCAACUGGGGAGGGUCACGCGAUACUGAUCGACUCGAAGGCAGGAGAGGGAAGUGGAAUUCCCGGUGUAGUGGUGAAAUGCGUAGAUAUCGGGAGGAACACCAGUGGCGAAGGCGACUUCCUGGCCUGUUCUUGACGCUGAGGCGCGAAAGCUAGGGGAGCAAACGGG
rnacentral:rRNA from 1 species